rnacentral:lncRNA from 1 species
AGAAAAGGAAACGAAAGGGAGAGGGAGUAAAGGCAAGACCAAAUUGCACAGUCCAUGGUGACAGGUAUCAUGAGACGCUUCCCAUCCCACGGACCCCUGGAAGUUCAGGUAGGGUAUUGAUAUCUUACCCAGCCCUUUAAUAAAUUGAUCAACAAAGAAGGUCAAGCUAAGGGAACACAGGAGGGACAGUAUUGGAUUGAAGAUGACUCCUGGUGGCAUAUGCGUCCUGUACGAUGAAAACCUGUCUGAAACUCCGAGGUCCACUGAAGAAAGAAUCUGGUUCAAUGUCCACAAAGCAGUGACCCAAUAGGCCGAGGUCAGGAAACGACGAGGGUGACUGACAGAGCACGGGCAUUCCAGCGUUUUCCUGGUGUUAGCCCAAUGGGAAAAUGUGAGCACCCGUCCGGCAGUAUCAGAGAACUGAAUCUAGAGAGAAAGGGAGUGAAGGCAUUUGCCAGGUCCUUGGUGACCCUCAUGGUAUGCCGCAUGCCAGGCUAUGGCCAGGUGUGUGUGUGGAAGCCGCGAGCCUGGAGAAUGGCUGUGCCAUUGGGUCUCCUCCUCUUGGCUUUGUACUCCUCAGUGUGCAGCCGCCGGACCCGAAGGCCGGCUCCUUCCUGGAUGAGCAGGCGAGGAUGGCAGCGUUGUCUUUGGAGCCAGGGGACCAGUGGUGGAAGCCGAAGGCCAGGCCAGGCUGCGUGGGGCCGAGACCCCUCCUCUGGCGGUGGUGGCAGGAGAGAUCCCAAGGUGAGUCAUGGCCCCAUGCUGCUGUCUCAGUUUGGGUCAUUGGGAUAAGGGUUUUCAUUGUCUUCUUACAAAAUAGUAAAUGUAAUCAAAAUUUAACUAUGGUCUAUUGAUA